GAUGAACGCUGGCGGCGUGCCUAAUACAUGCAAGUCGAGCGAACGGACGAGAAGCUUGCUUCUCUGAUGUUAGCGGCGGACGGGUGAGUAACACGUGGAUAACCUACCUAUAAGACUGGGAUAACUUCGGGAAACCGGAGCUAAUACCAGAUAAUAUUUUGAACCGCAUGGUUCAAAAGUGAAAGACGGUCUUGCUGUCACUUAUAGAUGGAUCCGCGCUGCAUUAGCUAGUUGGUAAGGUAACGGCUUACCAAGGCAACGAUGCAUAGCCGACCUGAGAGGGUGAUCGGCCACACUGGAACUGAGACACGGUCCAGACUCCUACGGGAGGCAGCAGUAGGGAAUCUUCCGCAAUGGGCGAAAGCCUGACGGAGCAACGCCGCGUGAGUGAUGAAGGUCUUCGGAUCGUAAAACUCUGUUAUUAGGGAAGAACAUAUGUGUAAGUAACUGUGCACAUCUUGACGGUACCUAAUCAGAAAGCCACGGCUAACUACGU
rnacentral:rRNA from 1 species